GGCUCAGAUUGAACGCUGGCGGCAUGCCUUACACAUGCAAGUCGAACGGCAGCACGGGAGCAAUCCUGGUGGCGAGUGGCGAACGGGUGAGUAAUAUAUCGGAACGUGCCCAGUCGUGGGGGAUAACGUAGCGAAAGCUACGCUAAUACCGCAUACGAUCUAUGGAUGAAAGCGGGGGAUCGCAAGACCUCGCGCGAUUGGAGCGGCCGAUAUCAGAUUAGGUAGUUGGUGGGGUAAAAGCCUACCAAGCCUUCGAUCUGUAGCUGGUCUGAGAGGACGACCAGCCACACUGGAACCGAGACACGGUCCAGACUCCUACGGGAGGCAGCAGUGGGGAAUUUUGGACAAUGGGCGCAAGCCUGAUCCAGCAAUGCCGCGUGCAGGAUGAAGGCCUUCGGGUUGUAAACUGCUUUUGUACGGAACGAAACGGCUCUUUCUAAUAAAGGGAGCUAAUGACGGUACCGUAAGAAUAAGCACCGGCUAACUACGUG
rnacentral:rRNA from 1 species